rnacentral:misc_RNA from 1 species
GACUACUGGCAGGAUCAACCAGGUAGCAUUCCUUCGUAGACCUCGAUGCCUCCCCAGGCCGAACACAGAACGAUGAGGCUCCGUGGGCACAUAGACAGGCACGAGGGUCACGCGAGCAAAAGCGAAAAUGCUUCGACACGUAGGGAUCGCAACGGAACCCAAGCGAUAACCAGCGACAUCACCGUACCCGAGAGCGUGACGGUAGCACCUACGCGCUAUCCCGAGCAGAAGCGCCCAAAGGGGAACAAAUGCUCCGACGGAACAACGUAGAUGACCGCACGAUAUCCACCAACGCCAAAAGAUGCGGAGGAGAAUCGAGGGACCCAACACCGGGACCACAAUCCAUCCAACUGCCGCGUUCGGUUGACAAGCACAGGAACCCACCUCACACGCGCAACCGGCCCAAAGGGGUCGAAGCGAGCCAACAUAUGCAACGGGCAGACCACAGCAGUUCGAUGCCACAACACGGAGCCUGCCGUGGGAUCAUGUCCUGA